rnacentral:rRNA from 1 species
AGCAGCCGCGGUAAUUCCAGCUCCAAUAGCGUAUAUUAAAGUUGUUGCAGUUAAAAAGCUCGUAGUUGAAUUUCGGGGUUAGCAGGUCGGUCGUGCCAUCGGUAUGAACUGGUCUCGCUGAUCCCUCCCUCUUGACGAACUGUGAUGCCAUUAAUUUGGUGUUACGGGAAAUCAGGACUGUUACUUUGAAAAAAUUAGAGUGUUUAAAGCAGGCUCACGCUUGAAUACAUUAGCAUGGAAUAAUGAAAUAGGACGUUCGAUCCUAUUUUGUUGGUUUUUAGGAUCAACGUAAUGAUUAAUAGGGAUAGUUGGGGGCAUUAGUAUUCAAUUGUCAGAGGUGAAAUUCUUGGAUUUAUUGAAGACUAACUACUGCGAAAGCAUUUGCCAAGGAUGUUUUCAUUAAUCAAGAACGAAAGUUAGGGGAUCGAAGACGAUCAGAUACCGUCGUAGUCUUAACCAUAAACUAUGCCGACUAGGGAUCGGAUGAUGUUAAUUUUUAAUGACUCAUUCGGCGCCUUAA